CCUCUGAAAUGGGUGUUACGUGUGAUGGUAAUGUGGAUGCUUCAUCAUGAAAAUGUCAGGGAGAUGGGUGAUUGGUCCUGCUGACGAAAACCCAAUUCUUCCCACAAGGGAGAAUGAUCUGCAGCUGAAUUACUUCUGACAUAUUCCUUUCAACACAGCGACCAUUUUGAAAGCAUAAUGCAGUUUGGUCAUGCAUGACAACAGUUUUUGCAGCAGAGUAACACGUGAAAAAUCUAAAUCAUGCUGGAAAUUUGAAAGGAAAAUCCAUUUGAUUAGGAUAUAUGGUCUGGGAAAUGCUCUCUCUGUUGUAUUUCACAUCAAUAAAAACUUCUGAUUUGAUUUGUAUG